AUUGAACGCUGGCGGCAUGCCUAACACAUGCAAGUCGAACGGCAGCAUGAUCUAGCUUGCUAGAUUGAUGGCGAGUGGCGAACGGGUGAGUAACGCGUAGGAAUAUACCUUAUAGAGGGGGAUAACUUGGGGAAACUCAAGCUAAUACCGCAUAAUAUUUGAGGAUGAAAGCUGGGGACCGUAAGGCCUGGCGCUAUAAGAAUAGCCUGCGUACGAUUAGCUAGUUGGUGGGGUAAGGGCCUACCAAGGCGACGAUCGUUAGCUGGUCUGAGAGGAUGAUCAGCCACACUGGAACUGAGACACGGUCCAGACUCCUACGGGAGGCAGCAGUGGGGAAUAUUGGACAAUGGGGGGCAACCCUGAUCCAGCAAUGCCGCGUGUGUGAAGAAGGCCUGAGGGUUGUAAAGCACUUUCAGUGGGGGAGGAGGAUAUUUUGGUUAAGAGCUGGAAUAUUGGACGUUACCCACAGAAGAAGCACCAGCUAACUCCGUGCCAG
rnacentral:rRNA from 1 species